GCGCCAGUGGUGUAAUGGUUAGCAUGGUCGCUUCCCAAGCGAUUGACACGGGUUCGAUUCCCGUCUGGCGCA
rfam:Steinernema glaseri strain NC unplaced genomic scaffold GLAS_319, whole genome shotgun sequence.